AAUAUAGUACAUCCAUAGAUGAAAAGAUCAAACAAUGCUGUGUCUACAUUAUCUGUAAAUGUUUUUCACUAAGAUUAAUUCAUCAUUAGAUUAAAGUAAACUUAGGGUAAGUAUACAAGUAUUGCAAUGUAUUGUGCAAUACACCCAUAAACAUAAUGAAUAAAUAUAGAACAUGAUUACAUCAGAUAUAUACAUAUAUUGUAUAAUUCUCUUAUUAGAAACGUACACAUUUAGACAUGUACUCACUCAGCUACAAUUGUUUUUCAGAUCUAGAAAUAGAGUUAAGUCAUCUUUCAAUGACAUCUUGUAACAUGCCAUGACAUACAAUGUAGUAUAUAUAGUUUAUACACAUGUACAACAAACUCAGGACUAUAAAUGAUACAUUCAUUCUAAGGAAAUCCAUAUUGAGUGAUUACGUUUAUUACCGUGCUAAAGGAAAUACAGAUAGGUAACAUCCGAGCUUCAAGAGAGUGAAGACUCUCAAACCGAGAGUCAGCUCUCUCUCUCUCUCUCUCUCUCUCUCUCUCUCUCUGACAACAGAAGUCUAUCUUGUAUUUGUGCUAUUACCCUAUCUUUUUUUUCUCUUUCAAAUUGCUUACAAAAAUAUCUGUUAUAUAAACACGUACAGUGCAUGUUGUGCAAUAUAUACACGUGCGAUUGUUUGUAGGAAGCAGCCUAAUGUGAAUGGCAUAAUAACACUCACAGUUUCCUAAUUUGAAAUUAAACAAAUUUAUGGGUCAUACUUCAUAAUUUCAUGAGUUUUUCUAAAUCGUUAAACAUGCAUUUACUUGUGGUUUCAUUAUCAGAUCGUCAAAUGACCUAGAUAUGCAUUAUACGUUUGAUUUUGAAUCGUAGAAAUAUGCAUACGUGGAUUGCUUGCACUCUUUUUGAUUUCUCUUAGGAUUUGAAUAUUGUUUAAACAUGAUGUAACUGUACUUCUUUGAUUUGAAUAUGUUAUAACAAUAUCUAUCAUUAUUCUACAUAAUUACUAAAUUAGGUGAAUACGAUAUUCUGGAGAUUGACGUUAGAGAAAUACUAAAUCAAAAAAAUUCUAAAUCGUACAUUCAUUACAGCUUCGAUAUAUGUGCACUAUUAUUCCGCUUCUCAGACACAUUAACUCUCUAGCUUACGUGGAAUGUAUUUAUAGAUAUAGAUGAUUAUUUGAGGUCACCUACCAUAUAUUUUUAGAUAGGUUUCCAAAUUUCAGUAACAUUAAUGACAUUUUUAGAUUUCAAAUAUCAUGAUGAUGAACUUUCUAUUCCAUCCGAUUAAUUUUGAUAUUUUCUUUACUAGCCUCACCAUUUUGCAAUCCCACAGUGUGAUAGGAAAUCAAUAAUUACGCAAUCAAAAUAUCAAUUUCUUUACAAUUUUUCUAGACAUAUAUCUGUUUUCAUCGUCAAUAGAAAUUAUCUAUGAUGUGAUUGUUUCUAAAACCAAGUAAUAUUUCAUUGACCAGUGGAAUGAUUCACAUUUCAACAGAAACUGAAGAAUUGUAUAUGUAGGGCGCCAUUUGCUCCAAAUAAUUCUUUAAAGUACAGUGCAUUUGAAAUCUGAUCUCGUAUAUCAAUAUAACUAUUGAGACGUCACGUCGUUGUGUCUUUAAUUUUAAAUCUUAGUCACCGGCCUUUAAUUUUUGUGUCAUUCUCGCCGUCACUGUUUAAAAUUUUCAAUUCUGAAGUUUCUCUAAAAUUUUAGUUGAGUAUUCACAUGAAUUGCAUUUUCUAUCCUAGUCUUUCUAUUAAUGUUUUAAUAGAAUUUUAAUCAAAUGUCUUCUCGGUAUGUAUAUAUACAUUUCAAGUGAGCGUCUGUACAAAAAAAUGGACCGCAAUGAAGAGUCGAAGAUCAAUCUCAUGUUUUCAGUUGCGCCAUAAUCAUUGUUUUGAUACUUGAUUACAAUCUGUAUUAUCAAUAUCAAGAAUGAACGGGAACUGUAAUGUGAAGUUUGAUCGCAACAGACAAUUCUCUGUAUUAGACAAGUACGUGCUGUUCAUUACAAUUUCCCUUGUACUGAUGAUAUUCCUAAGCGAAUGCUGUAAUGGAAAUCAGAUCGAAAGACGAAGACGGGGACAACAGAGGAUGCCAUGCCUUGCCUCUGUUUCAACAAUAGUUCACAAAAUUUGUCCAGAUAGUACAGAAUCUAGAAAUUUGCGAGCUAAAGAAGUUGGUUGUGAACUUAUGGCGAACAGUUGUGCAGAUUCUGUCGAUUAUGUCUAUCAUUGCCUAUUAAAUGAAUGGGGUAACAAUAGUUUGGAAAUAUGCGCACCAACAACGAAAAUUGUAGGCCAGUACUGUGCCGAAUUCAAUGUGGGAGGAGGAAUUGUUCAGGAGCAUCACAAAACAAACGCAUCAUGUACCCUGUGUCCUUACAUUUACAACUCUUCUGACAGCUUUCGCUAUCAUGGUUUCUGAAUACUGAAUUUACUUGAACAUUGAUCAUAAUACACUCAUCUUCCCUGUGUAAGUGGAUACAGAAUUUACGUGAAAAGAAGAAUUGACUGUAAAAGCACUCCCUGAUAUGCCAAUAUGGAGAAUGUUUUAGGGGACUUGUAUCGAACUUCACAAAGACAAUAGAAGCGAGUUUUCCAAUAAGUUCGACUACAUUCACGUCAAGGUAUGCUCCUGAUACCAAUACUGGCAAUAAGUGGUUAAUCAGUAUACCGAUUGCCAUACAUAUCCUCCUGGGAUAUUUGUGUUUGUUCUUUGGAGAAGGAAAUGUAUAGGACAAGAUCUUUACAAAACAGCUAUGAAAACAAUGGUUAAAAGAAACGACUUCAUGUAUAUCAGAUGACAAAUAUGGAUAUGCUCGUUAGUAGGAGACAAAGAAACAGUGAAAAGUGCAAAUGCAGAUCGAUCGCUGACCUUUUUUAUAUUCCUAUUCAGCAAAAUGUAUUCAAAAGGUUCUACAUAGGAAGCAAAGAUAUCUUUUUGUGACCUUCAUCUCCAUUACAUCGACGACGUAUUACUUAUCAUUAAUGCUCGCUUCCAUUCAUAUAUCUAAUCGAUAUACCGCAGUGAACAUGAAAAACAACACCAGGUCGUCCAUAUCCCUUCCGUUUGUGAAUAUUUUAUUGAAUGUAUACGUUAAUGGCAAACUAAAAGUUGUACCUUGUGGCAAAAGGAAUGAUUUCAGCUUUCACAUCGUCAACAUUUCAUAUUUGUAUAGCGAUAUUAUAUUAUGGUGUAUCUCAGUUGAUUUGAUACAUGAUACACCAUGCUCUAUACGUGGUCAUUCUGUGAAUCUUUUCCAGUUCUCUUCUACAUAAGCUGAUGUUAAAGGCUUUUCAACAACCUUGUUUAAUGUCUUCAUUUCGCAAUCUAUAUGGUUAUUAUCAUGAUCUGACCAAGCUUUAACACAGAUGACAUAAUAUUACCGAUCAGAUAAAUGAAGACAAUCACAUCUUCAUUUGGGAAAUGUAUAUGUGCGUGGUCGGGGGACGGAUGCAAACUAUAUUCUUUAUAGUUAAGAGUAGGAUGACAUUGCCCCGGGCUUUCCUGUCAUAAAUUGUAACGUAUUUUUCGCAUUUUGUUUUUAUAACUGUGACAUUUUAGCGUCAGUGAAAUCUUUUCUGUCUCAAAAUUUGGAAUAGUGAGAUGGAUUAUAUUAUAGUCAUUAUCCUCAUUUCGAUAAACAAAUUUAAUAAUUGAUAUAGCAAGCAGCUGUAAUUGGUAAUGAAUUACUUAUGAACAGGUGGAAAUAACAGUAAUCAAUCUCUUAAACAAACAUGGAUUCCUGAAUUUACAUGUGUUAUAGGUGGGGUCAGGUACCCAAAGACAAGUAAGCAUCCCCUAUUGCCCGGUCAUACCCAAUGCGAGCCCUAUAUCUUUAUCAGGUGAACAUAAUAUUCCGUGUGUAAAAACGACCCAGCAAUUGGUAUGAAACAGGUCAGACAGCAUUUGACCCAGUAACAGGUUCUAUUUGUAAAUGAGGUCGUCAUUACGACAACAGAAUUUGCAAAACGCUGCCUUUAAACGAGACUGUUGAAAUCCCAGUAACAUCAACAUUUCUGUCACUAGACUGUCUCAAUUUGAAAACAAAUGAUCGUACGCAGAACAUGUUCUUCCACAUCAACACAAUUGAGGGACAUGAGUGCUAUAUGCAUGUGAUAAUUGGAAUGUUGCUACAUAAAUUUUGGAUAGUUGAUGAUGGAUAAGCUGGAUUCAUCCCAUUUAUCAUAAUGUAAAAUAUCUACGAUAUACAGUAUAUUUUUUUCAUCCAUAAAAUGUCUCUAAUAUCCCUUAAGUUAAAUGUUAUUUAUCUACACAUCCGCAAACUAUUGAAAGGCUGCAAUGUACCUAUUGCAUUGAUGUAACAUUAUAUUUAAUGAAAUUAUAAAGUUUAAUCAACAUGCAAUUUCAAUAAUACUAUAAUAGACUGUACGCAUCGUGGUAUGUCUUUUUUUUCUAUCAAUAACUUCAUUAAUAAGAACUUUACCGGAGAUAAUACUGACGUGUAUAUUUUGUUGGAUCCUGCAGAUUUCAGUCAGUGUCAUACUAGAAUUUCACACAGUUACGUUGAGUUUUGAAACAGAAAUAAUUAAAACGAACCCUCGAAUGAAGGCCUAAUGGAUCCCGGUCAGAAUAGAUGCUCAGUACCCCUUGUUUGCCGUUAGAGGCGACUAAAUUGGGCUGUCCUUCGGAUGAGACCAUAAAAACCAAGGCCGCGUGUUCGAACAGGUGUGGCACGAUGAUGAUCCUUUCCUGCUCAAGGGCCGUAAGCGCCGAGCAUAGGCCUACAUUUUGGAGACCUUCACUGCCAAUGGUGACGUCUUCAUAUAAAUUAAAAACUCUAGAGCAGGAUGUUAAACAAUAUUCAAUCAAUCAAUUAAUCGUUUGGAGGCAAAAUGUUCAUUAAAUCGUUCUGAAUUUGACAAUUGUCAUUUUCACAUUACAAAAUAAAUAAAUGCAAUCAGUAAAAACUUGUUCUGAUGUGUUUACAAGGAAUGUACAGUUUAUCAAUUCUACAACACUGUAUCGAGACAAUGAGACCGAAAAGAAUUGGAGAUAAGGGAAAGCAGACAAGACAGCUAAAUGUAACAAUGACAUUGUCCUCUCAUACCACGGAAAAGGGGCCUUUCUGGAUUCAGCUUCACAGUGCCCCCUCCCCCGGAGGUCAUCACUGCUCCAUCCGCCCCAGUCCAGCUGGUAAUCGUCUUUGAUGUGUGCACGAAUUCCCUGCAAGGUCAAUUUAGUCAAGCUGAUGGCGAUAUAAUAACUCGUAUAGCCGAUGCAGAGCUAAGUAUUCACGAGUUAGUAUUCUAAGAAACAACUAUAUUUACCCACAGGAUCACAUACCAGUUCACACUAGUGCAUUGCCUCAUUACUUCAAGGUUUUACUGUCGAUUAAUUGGAUCAAUGGGGGUCAGCAAUGCUACACUCUAUUUUACACUUCAAUGUUAGUACCUCACCCCUUAAGUAAAGAGCUUUUACUCCAGUGUAUCUUGGGACUUUCAAAACUAUAACCUGUGCUAGUCUUUAUGUCUUACCAGUAGGCUUAGUUCCUAAAACUGACAGGGAUAUAUGGGAACAAACUCGUAUCUUGUUCGAAAGUCGCCGAGAAGCUUUCGCCGUUUACCUGAUCGAGAAAUAAGGCUCACAGCGGGUGUAUCCAGGGUCCGUGUUUGCCCAACUAUUUAUUUUGCAUUCCUUAUAGGAGUUAUGCGAUUGAUCACUGUUCGUUAUAUUCACCUUUCAUAGAGACAAAAAGGCCAAUUUUGGCCAAAAUUGUAAUAAAAAUGUUGUUACUUAGCAACCAUUAAUAAUUAUUUAUCACUGCAAUUAGAUAAAUUUCAUUUACCGGUAGCACUAGCAUUUUAGUAGGAAAGUCAGGACAUACAAUAUUUGUUUCUAUGGACUAAAACGUUUUUGAUGAGCAUUUUGUCUACUUUGUCGGACUGUGUUACAUAUAAAAAAAGAAAAUCACCAAAACCCUAAAAGUGAUCAUAGAAAUGUACACUAACUAUACUCCAUUGUAUAAAGCAAUAUAAUAACACGAAGCAGAUCGUACCAAAACAA